rnacentral:rRNA from 1 species
UGCAAGUUAAAUGUUUUUCGUAAACAUAGCGAACUGCUCAGUAACACGUGGACAACUUAACCUUAGGUCCAGCAUAACCCCGGGAAACUGGGGAUAAUUCUGGAUUAAGCCAAAGAUGCUGGAAUGCCCUUUGGCUAAAAGCUUUUGCGCCUAAGGAUAGGUCUGCGGUCUAUCAGGUUGUAGUGGGUGUAACGUACCUACUAGCCGACGACGGAUACGGGUUGUGAGAGCAAGAGCCCGGAGAUGGAUUCUGAGACACGAAUCCAGGCCCUACGGGGUGCAGCAGGCGCGAACACUUUACAAUGCGGGAAACCGCGAUAAGGGAACCCCGAGUGCCAGUACUAAGUGCUGGCUGUCUGGAUGAUUAGAAAUCAUUUAAUAGCAAGGGCCGGGCAAGACCGGUGCCAGCCGCCGCGGUAACACCGGCGGCCCGAGUGGUAACCGAUAUUAUUGGGUCUAAAGGGUCCGUAGCCUGUUUAAUAAGUCCUUUGGGAAAUCUGGCAGCUUAACUGUCAGGCUGCUAAAGGAUACUGUUAAACUUGGGACCGGGAGACCUAGGGGGUACUCCAGGGGUAGGAGUGAAAUCUUGUAAUCCCUGGGGGACCAUCUGUGGCGAAG